UACGUAGGGUGCGAGCGUUCAUCGGAAUUACUGGGCGUAAAGCGUGCGCAGGCGGUGAUGUAAGACAGAUGUGAAAUCCCCGGGCUCAACCUGGGAACUGCAUUUGUGACUGCAUCGCUGGAGUGCGGCAGAGGGGGAUGGAAUUCCGCGUGUAGCAGUGAAAUGCGUAGAUAUGCGGAGGAACACCGAUGGCGAAGGCAAUCCCCUGGGCCUGCACUGACGCUCAUGCACGAAAGCGUGGGGAGCAAACAGG
rnacentral:rRNA from 1 species